rnacentral:SRP_RNA from 4 species
CCGUGCUAGGUGGGAAGGUAGCGGUGUCCUGUACUCGCAAUCCGCUCUAGCGAGACUGAAUUCCUAUUCUGAGGCUGAUGUCCUGUAGGGUCUGCCUUUAGUAAGUGGUGUUGACGCUUGGGUCCUGCGCAAUGGGAACCCAUGAACCAUGUCAGGUCCGGAAGGAAGCAGCAUUAAGUGGACUCUCUCAUGUGCCGCAGGGUUGCCUGAGCUGAGCUAACUGCUAAAGUAACGCUUAUGGGCGUCAGUCGAAGAUAGGUGCACGG